rnacentral:rRNA from 1 species
ACGUUCUCUGCGCCGCAGCUAACGCAUUAAGCGUCCCGCCUGGGGAGUACGACCGCAAGGUUAAAACUCAAAGGAAUUGACGGGGGCCCGCACAAGCAGCGGAGCAUGCGGCUUAAUUCGAUGCAACGCGAAGAACCUUACCUAGGCUUGACAUGCAUUGAAAACUGUUAGAGAUAACAGGUCCGCAAGGGCUUUGCACAGGUGGUGCAUGGCUGUCGUCAGCCCGUGUCGUGAGAUGUUGGGUUAAGUCCCGCAACGAGCGCAACCCUCGUCUUGUGUUGCCAACAGGUAAUGCUGGGAACUCACAAGAGACUGCCGGGGUCAACUCGGAGGAAGGUGGGGACGACGUCAAGUCAUCAUGCCCCUUAUGUCUAGGGCUGCACGCAUGCUACAAUGGCCGAUACAAAGGGCUGCGAUACCGCAAGGUGGAGCGAAUCCCAUAAAGUCGGUCUCAGUUCGGAUUGAGGUCUGCAACUCGACCUCAUGAAGUUGGAGUUGCUAGUAAUCGCGGAUCAGCAACGCCGCGGUGAAUACGUUCCCGGGCCUUGUACACACCGCCCGUCAUGUCACGAAAGUC